AAUAGAUACCCGGGUAGUCCACGCAGUAAACGAUGAUUACUAGCUGUUUGCGAUACACAGUAAGCGGCACAGCGAAAGCGUUAAGUAAUCCACCUGGGGAGUACGCCGGCAACGGUGAAACUCAAAGGAAUUGACGGGGGCCCGCACAAGCGGAGGAACAUGUGGUUUAAUUCGAUGAUACGCGAGGAACCUUACCCGGGUUUGAACGUAGGGAGACAGGAGUGGAAACAUUCUAUUCAGCAAUGACUGCCUACGAGGUGCUGCAUGGUUGUCGUCAGCUCGUGCCGUGAGGUGUCGGCUUAAGUGCCAUAACGAGCGCAACCCUUAUUUCCAGUUACUAACAGGUGAAGCUGAGGACUCUGGAGAGACUGCCAGCGUAAGCUGUGAGGAAGGUGGGGAUGACGUCAAAUCAGCACGGCCCUUACAUCCGGGGCGACACACGUGUUACAAUGGUAAGGACAAAGGGCAGCUACCGGGCGACCGGAUGCGAAUCUCUAAACCUUAUCUCAGUUCGGAUCGGAGUCUGCAACUCGA
rnacentral:rRNA from 1 species